rnacentral:rRNA from 1 species
GACGAACGCUGGCGGCGUGCUUAACACAUGCAAGUCGAACGGAAAGGCCCUGCUUUUGUGGGGUGCUCGAGUGGCGAACGGGUGAGUAACACGUGAGUAACCUGCCCUUGACUUUGGGAUAACUUCAGGAAACUGGGGCUAAUACCGGAUAGGAGCUCUUGCUGCAUGGUGGGGGUUGGAAAGUUUCGGCGGUUGGGGAUGGACUCGCGGCUUAUCAGCUUGUUGGUGGGGUAGUGGCUUACCAAGGCUUUGACGGGUAGCCGGCCUGAGAGGGUGACCGGCCACAUUGGGACUGAGGUACGGCCCAGACUCCUACGGGAGGCAGCAGUGGGGAAUAUUGCACAAUGGGCGGAAGCCUGAUGCAGCAACGCCGCGUGCGGGAUGACGGCCUUCGGGUUGUAAACCGCUUUCGCCUGUGACGAAGCGUGAGUGACGGUAAUGGGUAAAGAAGCACCGGCUAACUACGUG